GCCUCCUUAGCUCAGUUGGUAGAGCGCGGCACUCGUACGUGCACCAUGCCGAGGGCACUCGUUCGAACCGGGUAGUAGGCU